rnacentral:rRNA from 1 species
UACGUAGGGUGCAAGCGUUAUCCGGAAUUAUUGGGCGUAAAGAGCUCGUAGGCGGUUUGUCACGUCUGCUGUGAAAACUGGAGGCUCAACCUCCAGCCUGCAGUGGGUACGGGGCAGACUAGAGUGCGGUAGGGGGAGAAUGGAACUCCUGGUGUAGCGGUGGAAUGCGCAGAUAUCAGGAGGAACACCGGUGGCGAAGGCGGGUCUCUGGGCCGAUACUGACGCUGAGGAGCGAAAGCGUGGGGAGCGAACAGG